GCAGCCGUGGCCGAGUGGUUAAGGCGAUGGACUAGAAAUUCAUUGGGGUCUCCCCGCACAGGUUCGAAUCCUGUCGACUGCG
rnacentral:tRNA from 1 species